AAGGUCAGGCUGAAGACCUUACCCGAUUAGCUGAGAGGUGGUGCAUGGCCGUCGUCAGUUCGUACUGUGAAGCAUCCUGUUAAGUCAGGCAACGAGCGAGACCCACGUCCACAGUUGCCAGCAUACCCUCCGGGGUGAUGGGUACACUGUGGAGACCGCCGCUGCUAAAGCGGAGGAAGGAGUGGGCAACGGUAGGUCAGUAUGCCCCGAAUCUCCCGGGCUACACGCGGGCUACAAUGGUUGGUACAAUGGGCAUCUACCCGGAAAGGGGAAGGAAAUCUCUUAAAGCCAAUCGUAGUUCGGAUUGAGGGCUGCAACUCGCCCUCAUGAAGCUGGAAUCCGUAGUAAUCGCGUUUCAACAGAACGCGGUGAAUACGUCCCUGCUCCUU
rnacentral:rRNA from 1 species